GGUCUCAUAGCUCAAUAGGUAGAGCAGCGUGCUUAUAACACGAAGACCUAGGGUUCGAUUCCCUUUGGGACCA